rnacentral:rRNA from 1 species
AGGAUGAACGCUGGCGGUCUGCUUAACACAUGCAAGUCGAACGGAGUACCUCGGUACUUAGUGGCGGACGGGUGAGUAACGCGUGAGAAUCUGCCCUUAGGUCGGAGACAACCAUUGGAAACGAUGGCUAAUACCGGAUAAGCCGAGAGGUAAAAGAUUAAUUGCCUAGGGAAGAGCUCGCGUCUGAUUAGCUAGUUGGUGAGGUAAAGGCUCACCAAGGCAUCGAUCAGUAGCUGGUCUGAGAGGAUGAUCAGCCACACUGGGACUGAGACACGGCCCAGACUCCUACGGGAGGCAGCAGUGGGGAAUUUUCCGCAAUGGGCGAAAGCCUGACGGAGCAAGACCGCGUGAGGGAGGAAGGCUCUUGGGUUGUAAACCUCUUUUCUUGGGGAAGAACAAAAUGACGGUACCCAAGGAAUCAGCAUCGGCUAACUCCGUGCCAGCAGCCGC